rnacentral:lncRNA from 1 species
GGCCUCCAAACGUCCAUUCUCAGUAAGCCAUAGUAUUUGUGUUUGACAUGCUGGUUUGUAAAAGUCUAGAAUAGAGACCCUGCAAAUUACAUUCAUUUACUGGAAAAAGAUAGAUGCAUCUAUUGUGAGCUCCUCGGUUCGUCUCGUGCCUCGCCCGCAAGAAGCCGGGCGAAACCUAGCCACCACCCACCACAGGUCCCUCACCUCAGCCACUCCACCCCCGUCGGCUGGCGUCGGCGGCGCCGGGGAUCUCUCUCCUCCUCUAGCCGCUGGUUACGAUGCGGGGCGUGGCUGCGCGAAGGGGACGUUGUGCUUGGCGCGGGGCACGGCUGUGGAGGCCGGCGUGCCGAGGUGCGUCGGGGCUGUGAUGGUUGCGCUGUGGCGGAGCAGGCACGCGGCGGUGAUGGGCCCGGCCCGGUAUUUACGUAGUCAAGUACAAUCGUGGAUGGAGUACACUGAUCACCCAGUAAUUGCCACCUGAUGCUUGCAUUAUUCCUGAAUUUACUUCAGAAUUUUCGGUAAUAUACUUUUAGUGUGAGGAGACGUUUUCGUCGGCGACGAGGUGCCUACGAUGACUUCGUAAAUCUCAAGAUGGUAUGCCGGCUCAAUCUCUCGAAGGUGUUCAUAGGGGUAAGGUAUGCGUGUGUGCGUUUAUACUGUUUAUAGGGGUGAAUGUAUGUGUGUUUAUAUCAACGCUUGCAUGUGUACUGUGUUUAAAAAAAAGUACACGAAGCACAACACUGAAGUUACAACUGCCAUACAUGAGAUGCAGUUUUCUGCCUGUCACCUAGUAGUCACCCAGGAUGAGAUGCGGUUUCUGCCUGACAGUUUGUCAACUAGCAUGAGAUUGUGGCCCUUCUUACAUGCUGGCCG